UUCAACCUAAAAAGUAUAAAAUCAAUCCAGUAUCUCAUACGCUUAGAUAUAAUUAUAUUAUUGAUAUUUCUGUUAGUAUGAAAACACUAAACUGUAAAUAAUUUUAAGUAGUAAGGAAAAAUGAACAAAUAGUUGUUAUAAAAUACGAAUAGUCAAUCCUAUUUCUCAUCCUAAUAUAAGGUGUACCUGCAACAUAUCUGGGGUAGAGAUAAUAAUUUUUGUUAAACCAUGAAUUUUUACUGCAAUAACUCAUGGUUCUGUUU